rnacentral:rRNA from 1 species
CAGUCGCCACGGGAAUACGAAGGGGGCUAGCGUUGCUCGGAAUUACUGGGCGUAAAGGGCGCGUAGGCGGGCGAUUAGGUCAGAGGUGAAAUCCCAAGGCUCAACCUUGGAACUGCCUUUGAUACUGGUUGUCUUGAGUCCGGGAGAGGUGAGUGGAACUGCGAGUGUAGAGGUGAAAUUCGUAGAUAUUCGCAAGAACACCAGUGGCGAAGGCGGCUCACUGGCCCGGAACUGACGCUGAGGCGCGAAAGCGUGGGGAGCAAACAGGAUUAGAUACCCCCGUAGUCCCUGUCUCUUAUAC